AUCGCAGACAUCGGGUACAAGACGGUGACAUCGCUGCUGGGCGUCGCGACCAUCUACCUCGGGAUUAAUUUCUCCAUGAAUUUGUAUUCCGCGAUCCAGUGGCACAUCGAGCACAGAAACGAUCCAAAGGAGGAAAUCCAAGUCCCGCAACAGCCCCAGCAAGGAUGAUCGCGCUCCAGCAAAAUAACAGCGUCUCAACUCCUUGAAGAGCUCACGAACUUGGUCUCUAGAAUCACGAGAUGAAAGAAAUGUAAGUAGGCUUCCAUUUUCAAUACACUCGAGCUUCAUUACCUGGCA